AAUCGUAAAAAUGUGUGUAGUUUUAUUGGCAACAAUGUGACGAAGUUAAAAUCGUAAAAAUAUGUCAGUUUCAUUGGCAACAAUGUGAAGAGGUUAAAAUCGUAAAAAUGUGUGCAGUUUCAUUGGUAACAAUGUGACGAGGUUAAAAUCGUAAGAAUAUGUGCAGUUUCAUUGGCAACAAUGUGAAGAGGUUAAAAUCGUAAAAAUAUGUGCAGUUUCAUUGGCAACGAUGUAGCAUAGUAAAAAAAGUAAAAAAAAAGAGAAAAAAAAAAAGAAAUACCCCAGUGGAUUUUUUUUUAUUAUGAUUUAAAACAAUCAAUAAUAACAUAAUAGAAGGACAUAAAUGUACAAUUUAGUAACAUAACUUUAUCGCUAAACUAUAUUUAUAAGGACUUAAGAAAAAAAAAAAAAAA